ensembl:snRNA U6 U6 spliceosomal RNA
GUGUUUGCUCUGGUAACACAGACGAAAAUUGGAACAAUACAGAGAAGAUUAACACGGCCUCUGCACAAGGAUGACAUGCAAAUUCGUGAAGCAUUCCAUAUUUUU